CCUACGGGGCGCUGCAGUGAGGAAUAUUGGUCAAUGGACGAGAGUCUGAACCAGCCAAGUAGCGUGAAGGAUGACUGCCCUAUGGGUUGUAAACUUCUUUUAUAUGGGAAUAAAAUGUUCCACGUGUGGGAUUUUGUAUGUACCAUAUGAAUAAGGAUCGGCUAACUCCGUGCCAGCAGCCGCGGUAAUACGGAGGAUCCGAGCGUUAUCCGGAUUUAUUGGGUUUAAAGGGAGCGUAGGUGGAUUGUUAAGGCAGUUGUGAAAGUUUGCGGCUCAACCGUAAAAUUGCAGUUGAAACUGGCAGUCUUGAGUACAGUAGAGGUGGGCGGAAUUCGUGGUGUAGCGGUGAAAUGCUUAGAUAUCACGAAGAACUCCGAUUGCGAAGGCAGUUCACUGGACUGCAACUGACACUGAGGCUCGAAAGUGUGGGUAUCAAACAGGAUUAGAUACCCUAGUAGUC
rnacentral:rRNA from 1 species